UACGAAGGGGGCUAGCGUUGCUCGGAAUCACUGGGCGUAAAGCGCACGUAGGCGGCUUCUUAAGUCAGGGGUGAAAUCCUGGAGCUCAACUCCAGAACUGCCUUUGAUACUGAGGAGCUCGAGUCCGGGAGAGGUGAGUGGAACUCCGAGUGUAGAGGUGAAAUUCGUAGAUAUUCGGAAGAACACCAGUGGCGAAGGCGGCUAUCUGGACCGACAUUGACGCUGAGGCGCGAAAGCGUGGGGAGCAAACAGG
rnacentral:rRNA from 1 species